rnacentral:rRNA from 1 species
GCAGUGAAGCUGACGGCCACACUGGGACUGAGACACGGCCCAGACUCCUACGGGAGGCAGCGAAUCUUCCGCAAUGGACGAAAGUCUGACGGAGCAACGCCGCGUGAGUGAUGAAGGUUUUCGGAUCGUAAAGCUCUGUUGUUAGGGAAGAACAAGUACCGUUCGAAUAGGGCGGUACCUUGACGGUACCUAACCAGAAAGCCACGGCUAACUACGUGCCAGCAGCCGCGGUAAUACGUAGGUGGCAAGCGUUGUCCGGAAUUAUUGGGCGUAAAGGGCUCGCAGGCGGUUUCUUAAGUCUGAUGUGAAAGCCCCCGGCUCAACCGGGGAGGGUCAUUGGAAACUGGGGAACUUGAGUGCAGAAGAGGAGAGUGGAAUUCCACGUGUAGCGGUGAAAUGCGUAGAGAUGUGGAGGAACACCAGUGGCGAAGGCGACUCUCUGGUCUGUAACUGACGCUGAGGAGCGAAAGCGUGGGGAGCGAACAGGAUUAGAUACCCUGGUAGUCCACGCCGUAAACGAUGAGUGCUAAGUGUUAGGGGGUUUCCGCCCCUUAGUGCUGCAGCUAACGCAUUAAGCACUCCGCCUGGGGAGUACGGUCGCAAGACUGAAACUCAAAGGAAUUGACGGGGGCCCGCACAAGCGGUGGAGCAUGUGGUUUAAUUCGAAGCAACGCGAAGAACCUUACCAGGUCUUGACAUCCUCUGACAAUCCUAGAGAUAGGACGUCCCCUUCGGGGGCAGAGUGACAGGUGGUGCAUGGUUGUCGUCAGCUCGUGUCGUGAGAUGUUGGGUUAAGUCCCGCAACGAGCGCAACCCUUGAUCUUAGUUGCCAGCAUUCAGUUGGGCACUCUAAGGUGACUGCCGGUGACAAACCGGAGGAAGGUGGGGAUGACGUCAAAUCAUCAUGCCCCUUAUGACCUGGGCUACACACGUGCUACAAUGGACAGAACAAAGGGCAGCGAAACCCGCGAGGUUAAGCCAAUCCCACAAUCUGUUCUCAGUUCGGAUCGCAGUCUGCAACUCGACUGCGUGAAGCUGGAAUCGCUAGUAAUCGCGGAUCAGCAUGGCGCGCCGCGCGGUGAAAUCCGGAU